UGGAAAGCUUGUUCUUGGUGAUUCGC
rnacentral:piRNA from 1 species